GAUGAACGCUGGCGGCGUGCCUAAUACAUGCAAGUCGAGCGAACGGACGAGAAGCUUGCUUCUCUGAUGUUAGCGGCGGACGGGUGAGUAACACGUGGAUAACCUACCUAUAAGACUGGGAUAACUUCGGGAAACCGGAGCUAAUACCGGAUAAUAUUUUGAACCGCAUGGUUCAAAAGUGAAAGACGGUCUUGCUGUCACUUAUAGAUGGAUCCGCGCUGCAUUAGCUAGUUGGUAAGGUAACGGCUUACCAAGGCAACGAUGCAUAGCCGACCUGAGAGGGGAACCGGCCCACCUGGAACUGAGACAGGGCCCAGACCCCUAGGGGGGGCACAAGUGGGAAAUUUCCCGCAAGGGGGAAAAGCCUACGGGGCAAAGCCCGGGGGGGUGAUGAGGGCUUUGGGAUGGUAAAACUUUUUUAUUGGGAAAAAAAAUAUGUGUAAGAAACGGUGCAAAUCUUGACGGUACCAAAACAGAAAGCCACGGCUAACUACGU
rnacentral:rRNA from 1 species